AGGGACUUAACGCACCCUCUGGCCUCUCCCCAUCCACAUCAGCCCCUGCCGCCAUGUCUCGAGUAGCCCCUUCAGUAAACCGGGUCGUCAUCAUCGGCAGCGGACUUGCAGGGCAGUCCGCAGCGAUCGAGGCCGCCCGCGAGGGCGCUAAGGAAGUUGUCCUCAUUGAGAAGGAAGCGCGGCUGGGCGGCAACAGUGCCAAGGCCACGUCUGGCAUCAACGGCUGGGGCACGGCAGUGCAGAAGGCCGCCGGCGUGCACGACAGCGGCGAACUCUUUGAAAAGGAUACGUUCGUCUCUGGCAAGGGUGGCACCUGUCGGCCAGAGUUGGUGCGGACGCUGUCCGACCACAGUGCAGAAGCCAUCGAGUGGCUCUCUUCGUUUGGCAUCCCGCUGACCGCCAUCACGCAACUCGGCGGUGCGAGUCGCAAGCGCUGCCACCGUGCCCCAGACAAGCCGGACGGGACUCCGCUGCCGAUCGGUUCCACGAUUGUGCGUGCGCUGGAGAACUACAUCCGCACAAACCUGUCCGGCACCGUGCUCAUCGAAACCAAUGCGCGUCUCAUCUCACUGAUACACAGUAAGGAGGGCGGCGUGGAGGUGGUGCAAGGCAUCACGUAUGCCACGCAAACUGGAAGAGGCGAGGAGCAGACUCGCGAACUACAGGCCCGUGCCGUCAUUCUCGCCACGGGCGGCUUCUCGAACGACCACACGCCCAACUCGCUCCUGCAGCAGUACGCGCCGCAACUGUCGUCCUUCCCCACCACCAACGGUGUAUGGGCCACCGGCGACGGUGUAAAGGCGGCACGUGAGCUGGGCGUAAAGCUGGUGGACAUGGACAAGGUGCAGCUGCACCCGACCGGUCUGCUGAAUCCGAAAGACCCGAACGCCAAGACACUAUUCCUCGGCCCCGAGGCGCUGCGUGGCUCCGGUGGCGUGCUGCUGAACAAGAACGGCGAGCGCUUCGUGAACGAGCUGGGCCUGCGCUCCGUCGUGUCGCAGGCGAUUAUCGCGCAGAACAACGUCUACCCCGGCACAGAGAGUCGCCGCUACGCGUACUGCGUACUGAACGACGCGGCUGCUGAGGCGUUUGGUCGCAGUUCGCUGAACUUCUACUGGAAAAAGAUGGGGCUCUUUUCUGAGGUUGCCGACGUCGCCGCGCUUGCGGCUCUCAUCGGAUGUCCGGAAGAAACCUUGAUGCACACGCUCUCCGAGUACGAGAAGAUCUCCAGCGGCCGAAAACCGUGCCCGAAGAGUGGAAAAGAAGUGUUCCCUUGUGUGCUGGGUACUCAAGGGCCCUACUACGUUGCCCUCGUCACGCCGUCGAUCCACUACACCAUGGGUGGCUGCCUCAUCUCACCUGCAGCAGAGAUCCUGGAUGAGCAGAUGCACCCGAUUCUUGGUCUCUUUGGCGCUGGCGAGGUGACGGGCGGCGUGCACGGUGGCAACCGUCUCGGCGGUAACUCGCUGCUGGAGUGUGUCGUGUUCGGUCGCAUUGCUGGGCGUCAAGCUGCACGCCACCUCGGCACAGCGGUGUCUUAGCCACACACCUCGAUUCUCUCCGGAGCGUUCGUUGUUUUGCGACACCCUUUCGCAAACACGAAAGCAGCGCAGCGAUUCCCUUUUAUCGUCGUCCGUGUCUCCGUUCGACUUGUUUCCCACCCCAUUUAAACUGCCAGGCCUCCCCGGUUGCUCUCACCUCGGGUUCUCUUCUGGCGCCCGCCUCAGUGCCACCGUGCGGCGCACGAGGACAAUCGUUGAUAGACCUAAAAAAAAAACUUCGUGUUUUGCCAUGUGCUUCCGCAACGCCCGCUUCGCCGGCGCACCCUUAAGCAAAAAACGGAACCGGGCGCCCCUGGCCCCCUCCGCCACGCGAAAGGGCAACGCACCCCGCCCCACAACCCUGGCACGCCACCCCACCCCAACGCCCCUCGGCCAAACGCCAGCCCCCCCGGGGUGCCAGCGUCUCCAAAACACGCCACCCAAGCGUACGCACCCCACACCCGAGGCCCCGCAGGGGAAACGACGAAGGGCAGGCAAAGCCAGCCGCGAAGCCCACACAGGAAACCCCCAAGCAACAAAGAGCGAGCACGGCGCACACACGAAAACAAACAAAAGAGAACACACUUGGCUAACGACCUGGCCCCGAUGCCGAAGGGAAGCUUUAGACGCAAAGAGGCAAGGACUUUUUCCCUCAGGAGUGACAAUCGAGAAUGCCACUUUAAUCAGGCGCCAUCCGAGACCGUUCGGCGCCCCAUGGGGGAGCCCUUCUUUUUCGCGCCCCCGCAAAAACGCCAUUUGAGCGCGCCAUCCCCGUCAGCGACACAGCCUCCUGCGCACAGACGCUUCCCCCCGAUGCCUCGCGCGUUCUUUCCGCCAAAAGCCGUCCCCCACCCCGGUAACGGAGCGCGAAGCCGAGACAACGCAUAGAAACGGUUAAAAGAGGGGCGCUAUGGGCGGUUUGCGCCGGCAGUGGGGAUGGGUUGGGUAGUUCAAAAAGGAGCCGGGGGAGGGGGGCGGCCAACGCGACUUUUGCACCGCUGGCGUUGGCAAUUGCGUGGGGACCUUUUUUUUUUCAGAUUCUGGCAACAGCAAGUGCUCGGGGGACCCUUCGCAGCGGUGGAAACGCGCCGGCGGUGCGGCUUUACGAGGUGGCCGGCCCCUUGGGCGCGGGCAAGGCGCACCGCUGCCGGGGUAGGCACCGCGAAGUUGGCGCGCACUAGGCGUUGCUAAUUUGUUUUCGGGUUUCUUUACCGCACACAAAGCGCCAAACCACCGGGCAUGCAAGCGACCAAUGGCCCCGCACACGACAAGGAGCAGCGGCGGGGCAAUGAAACCCCGGAUGUGGCCGGGACCCCUUGUCACACCACUGCCCGCGGCCCGCCUGCCGGAGCCUAGGCGGCACCCGCCCACCCUGAAACGGCACGUGUGCAGGCGCCUGGCCCCACCAUCGCAAAGCACCAAGCCAUGGCACCGCGUUGAGGUGGCCGGCCCCAUUUCAAAAAGCGAGGAAGGGAACCGUAGGAUACCAAGAGGCGCGCGCUACAAAACAACAAACGGCGUAGGCCACCGUCGGGGGGACGGGGGGAAGCACAGCCAGCCCGAAGGACAAACCGCCCUGGGAAGAGAAAGGGCAAAAGCGCCCGGCGCCCCCGCCAAAAGAAAAAAAGAAAGGCGGUAAAAAAACAGGGCGCGGGAACUUCGCAAACGCAACCAGACGGUGGGAAACGGAAAAAACAAGACGACCAGAAACAUGGCCAUAGCAGCCCAAGGCUUCUACAUAAAAACAAACAGCGCCGGCCAAAACAAAACAAUAAGAGCACAUGCGCCCAAAGAAAACAAAAACCACCCCAAUAAGACGACACCAACCGGCAGACACAAUAAAAAAGGCCAGCGAAAAAGGUAAUUCGCGUUCGGCCAAUACGAAAAGAAUUCUGACAAUAGAAAACCCGGGGUGUGCGUAUAAAGCCCUCCUUUUUUUGCCGACAGGCUGGCCCCUUCAAAAAACAAAGGCUCGCAGAGAAGGAAAAAGUAGGGACACCAAUGAAUCCAACACACCGACACCCCAACAAAAGCGCCGGCAAGCACACCAUCAUUUAAAAAAAAAACUGGGGGGUGAAAGGAACAAAAGCGAGAGAAAAAAAAGUUGCCCACUGAAAGCAAAAGUGAAAAAAAAUGAAAAAAAAAGCCAACGCACAGAGGAAGAAGACCAAAUGGGGAAAAUUGGCGCCGGCAACAAAAAGCGCGAAAGCCCCGGCACAUACCCCCCAAACGCCACAAGUUUUCCGACAAACUGUGUCAUCCACCGACCCCCGACAAAAAGAAAAUUCUUCAUAGAAAACCACCCCUAGCAACUGGACCGGCUGGAAAGCGACCCCAAGGGGGGAUCGCUUUGGGUUUUCUUUAAGGGUAAAAGGGCAGCUUGCCCAUCAGGUGAGCAGGUGUCCGGGAACGAAAAAGGGUUCUCCCGCAAAACCCCGCUAGCGGUUGGGACGCGAGGCGCGUCUGGGGCAACCGGGUGGGGAACGCGAUGCGGAGGACAUCGCAGCCGCCGCAACAAACGCCAAACGCUUCUUACGGCGACAAAAAAG
rnacentral:misc_RNA from 1 species